UACGUAGGGUGCAAGCGCUAAUCGGAAUUACUGGGCGUAAAGCGUGCGCAGGCGGUGAUGUAAGACAGGUGUGAAAUCCCCGGGCUUAACCUGGGAACUGCAUUUGUGACUGCAUCGCUGGAGUGCGGCAGAGGGGGAUGGAAUUCCGCGUGUAGCAGUGAAAUGCGUAGAUAUGCGGAGGAACACCGAUGGCGAAGGCAAUCCCCUGGGCCUGCACUGACGCUCAUGCACGAAAGUGUGGGGAGCAAACAGG
rnacentral:rRNA from 1 species